CCUACGGGAGGCAGCAGUGGGGAAUAUUGCGCAAUGGGCGAAAGCCUGACGCAGCGACGCCGCGUGAGGGAUGAAGGUCUUCGGAUCGUAAACCUCUUUUAGCAGGGAAGAACGGUCACUGUGCUAAUCACCAGUGAAUUGACGGUACCUGCAAAGGAAGCACCGGCUAACUCCGUGCCAGCAGCCGCGGUAAUACGGAGGGUGCGAGCGUUAAUCGGAAUUACUGGGCGUAAAGCGCUCGUAGGCGGGAUGGCAAGUCAAGGGUGAAAUCCCCGCGCUCAACGUGGGAACUGCCUUUGAAACUGGCAAACUGGAGUGUGUGGGAGGAUAGUGGAAUUCCAGGUGUAGGAGUGAAAUGCGUAGAUAUGUGGAGGAACAUCAGUGGCGAAGGCGACUAUCUGGCACAUAACUGACGCUGAGGAGCGAAAGCGUGGGUAGCAAACAGGAUUAGAUACCCCAGUAGUC
rnacentral:rRNA from 1 species